CUCAGUUUACCUUCUCACAAAGAGGCUCCCUGCUCAGCUCCUGGGGCUGCUAAUGCUCUGGCUCCCUGGGUCCAGUGGGGAUAUUAUGAUGACCCAAACGCCACUCUCCCUGCUCGUCAUCCCUGGAGAGCCAGCCUCCAUCUCCUGCAGGUCUAGUCAGAGCCUUGUUUACAGUGAUGGAAACACCUAUUUUUUUGGUACCUGCAGAAGCCAGAAAUGUGACUGUCCUUGUGAUGGUGUUUGGUGUCGGCACCAUUAUUCAGGAGCUGUUCAAUUAAAUAAUAAGCACAUCACUAACAAAUGA